AACGUAGGAGACAAACGUUAUCCGGAGUUACUGGGCGUAAAGGGCGUGUAGGUGGUAAUGUAAGUCUGGCGUGAAAUUUUUCGGCUUAACCGGGAAAGGUCGUCAGAGACUGCAUAACUAGAGGACGGUAGAGGCGUGUGGAAUUCCGGGUGUAGUGGUGAAAUGCGUAGAGAUCCGGAGGAACACCAGUGGCGAAGGCGACACGCUGGGCCGUACCUGACACUGAGGCGCGAUAGCAUGGGGAGCAAACAGG
rnacentral:rRNA from 1 species